AAGAUCGUACUUCACAGGAUCGUUUCUGUAGUAGAUCUUCUCAAAGCUCUGUCCUAAAAUAGAGUUGAUGCAGCCACGAUGAGGAAAUAUAGCAUUUUUUCCUGAGCGUGAGGAAGACGUGAGAAAGUUGAUUUUAUUUUAGUUUCUCAGUCAUCGAUGAUCGUUCACUUCUUAUAUUUAUUAUAAGAGGGAUGGAAAAAAUGCUUUCUGAGCGGU
rfam:Apis mellifera strain DH4 linkage group 1, whole genome shotgun sequence.